AACGAACGCUGGCGGCAUGCCUAACACAUGCAAGUCGAACGAGACCUUCGGGUCUAGUGGCGCACGUGUGCGUAACGCGGGGGGACCUGCCCUUAGGUUCGGAAUAACUCCCCGAGAGGGGUGCUAAUACCGGUUAAUGUCUUCGGACCAAAGAUUUAUCGCCUUUGGAUGGGCCCGCGUUGGAUUAGCUAGUUGGUAGGGUACAAGCCUACCAAGGCGACGAUCCAUAGCUGGUCUGAGAGGAUGAUCAGCCACACUGGGACUGAGACACGGCCCAGACUCGUACGGGAGGCAGCAGUGUAGAAUAUUGGACAAGGGGCGAAGGCCUGAUCCAGCAAUGCCGCGGGAGUGAUGAAGGCCUUAGUGUUGUAAAGCUCUUUUAGCCGGGAUGAUAAUGACAGUACCGGGAGAAUAAGCUCCGGCUAACUCCGUG
rnacentral:rRNA from 1 species